rnacentral:tRNA from 1 species
GCGCCCAUAGCUCAACUGGAUAGAGCGUCUGGCUACGGACCAGAAGGUUGGGGGUUCGAGUCCUCCUGGGCGCG